AUAAUAAAAUAUUCAGUGAAAUAUAUUUUUUAGUUAAGUGGCAACUGAAAGUCCCGGUAGACAAUUUACAUAAGUAUGAUUUAUACGUAUUACAAGGCGAUGACUCAGUCUCGUCCUUGUGCGUAUCAGACUGCGCCGCAGCGUACGCUGCACAAACUUGAACAAACCUUUUGCAACUCGCGCAAUGGUAUUUUUAUUAGAAUAAGAGUGAUCGCUGAAAUCGCAUUGACAACUGAAGGGAUCCUCGAGAUAGCUGUUUAUAAAGAGCAAUUUUACAGCGUUGAGAAACAUGGAACGCGGAUGCUAAGACGAUAUUGCAUAAUAGCGUGCAUCACACAAGAAUGUAAUAGCUGAGAACAGACGAAAUAAUGCACCAAAUGACACCUAAAAUGUCACGUGGAUACAAAAAGGAUGUAAAGAGUGAUGAGGUUUCUCUUAGCCAUUUGUUUUUUUACUUUGUGACAGCAAAUCAAAAUUUUACUGGAUUGACCACACGUGGUACAUCAAUUGACAGUGCAAGUGGUUAAACUACAUGAGGCAAUCACAUUGUCAUUCACAAGCAAUUGUAGAGGAUAAGAGAGUAUCUACGCAAAUUGCCAAGGCUAAUGGCGCUAAUAGAUGUUUGUGGCACUUUGAUGUUAGUGUUUAAUGUGUUUAACUUUUAUAUGUCGUAUUUAUAAACUAAUACUUUUCUCUAUUAAAUUCCAAUUGUGUUCAGUAUUAUUUACAUUAUACAUUGUAUCUCUUA